rnacentral:tRNA from 2 species
UAUAAUAUGGCAGAUUAGUGCAUUGGUUUUAAACACCAAUUAUAAAGAUUAUUCUUUUAUUAUAA